rnacentral:ncRNA from 1 species
UACAUAUCGUGAUGAACGGGUUCUUUGCACGUUUAGGAGAUAGAGUGCAAAGAUUAAUAGGGAAGCUCGGUUAAAAUCCGGCGCGGUCCCGCCACUGUGAUAGAAGAGUGUCGUCCAAGAACCACUGAUUAGUACAAAUUAAUCGGGAAGGUGGACGGACACGAUGACGCUAGAGCCAGGAGACCUGCCUGUCAUCAGCACACAAU